rnacentral:rRNA from 1 species
UACGUAGGGGGCAAGCGUUGUCCGGAAUUAUUGGGCGUAAAGCGCGCGCAGGCGGUUUCUUAAGUCUGAUGUGAAAGCCCACGGCUCAACCGUGGAGGGUCAUUGGAAACUGGGAGACUUGAGUGUAGGAGAGGAAAGCGGAAUUCCACGUGUAGCGGUGAAAUGCGUAGAGAUGUGGAGGAACACCAGUGGCGAAGGCGGCUUUCUGGCCUAUAACUGACGCUGAGGCGCGAAAGCGUGGGGAGCAAACAGG